ACUCCACAUCUUCGCUCGCAUUAAUGUGUGCGCGCUGUAAUAACUUUUCUUGUUUUCUUACGGAUAACUUUUCUUACGGAUUAUGUCUCAAGACGACAACAAAGUUUCGUUUACGAAUUAUUCAUAUGAGAUCUCGGAUCUUCGGUACAGAAUUUAAGCGUGACGGAUAUGGGAUAAACACUUUCGUGGUGUAAUGCGAAUGCAUACGUAGAGGGCAUUGUUGUUUUUUUAGCGUUUGGAACUCAGGUAUUUGAAAAGGAUGAGUUGAUAAAUAAACAAGUUAAGCAAUACAAUUAUAACAUCAACUGUAUAAUUCCGUAGAAAUACCAUGUCUUGCAAUAUCGAUUGGCAUGAUACGCAAAAGUUACCAUGAAUACAUGCCACGAAUUAUACGAUGAAUUGCCAUCAUGACUUUAUACUAUAGAUAAAAAUUUUAGUUGGGACUAAAUGAUAAUCAGCCAAAAAUAUAAUUUGAAAGAUUUUCUACAUAAAACGUGACUGAAACAAGCUCUGGAAAAAUUAAAUGAAUCAUAUGAAAUUCUUUAGCGAAAGAAAGUUGCUACAUUUUAUUAUUUCGGUACAAUCAACGUCAAUUCAUAUAGGCAAUUUUCCUUAUUUAAGCCAUUUUUAUAAAAUUAGAUCAAACUUGACCUCCAAUUUAAUCAUUAUUUGUCUGUAAACAUAAUUCAGACUCGCAAACUUAGAUAUCGAACACACAACUAACUUCAUUUGAAUUAACUACAAGAAUAAAAAUGUGACUAGUGGAACAUGGACCGUUAUGUAUAUACAUACAAAUAUAUGCGAUUAAAAGUAACUAUACAAUAAUUACGUUUCUAGAUCGCACAAUCAUGUAUUUGCAAUAA